AAGAGAAGAGAAGAAGGAACGGCGGCAGAUUUUUAUUUUUCUUUCCUCUCUUUCUCUCUCCCUCCCCCCCUCCUCUUUAUCUGUCCCCCCUUUUUCCUCUCUUUAGAGGAACUUGUACAAAAUAAA
rnacentral:ribozyme from 13 species